GCUCCUCUUAUCCUAGCUAGGCAAUCAGUUUAGGGCAAACAUAUUAGGUAGAAAGGGUAAAUGAAAAUGUUUUCCUAGCAUGCAGAGAUUUGUUUUUUUGGUUUCUUUUGCCAUAUUUCAAACAUGAGGGAGAAAAACAACAACAGAAUCUGAAGAUUUAUCAGCUUCUCCUAGUGGCGGUUUUAAGAAAACUGGAUACACACACAGGCACAUUGGAAACGCAGUAGAAAAUGGCUGCCAAUUUAAAACCAGAAGUUAAGAAGAGCAAACUCGAAUGUACAGCAAGAGAGCUUCAGGCUGGACUGGCUUCCAGCAGAAGUGGGACUGGAAACCUCGGAUUCUAUUGUCUCUUCUCUGUGAAGUGGGAAAACAUAGUGAACCCAGAGCACAUGGCUUUCCACCCGGACUGGUUGGUUACUGCUGCCCUAUUCUUUGAUGGAGAUAAACAAACAAACAAACAAACCUGAUUGCAAUGGUGCUUUGGAACCCCUAGAUCCUGAACUCCUUUGGGAGAGAUCUGAGAGUGGGAGCAGGGCCUUCUGCAGCCAAGUUAGCCUCCCAGGCUGGCUAAUAGCUGGGAGAACCUUGGCAUUUACCCAGGGAAACAUCCUAAUGUGUACCGUGGCAGGGCGUGGUAAAGAACCUAGAAACAUGUCAGUCAGUAGAAGGUGUGUUGGCCCCCGGAAAGCCAAGCAUUUGUCUGAUGAAGCAUAGAGUGAAUUCUGGCUUAUAUGUUUCAUCACUUGGCUGGGUCCUUCGUCAGAUGAAAAGGUAGCAGCUGAGAGCAUUAGCAGAAACAAUUGACGGGCUAAGCUCUCUGUGAGAGCAGCAGACUCAAUCGAGGAGGGCUGGAAGCCCAGGCGUGGGCUGUCAUGAGAAGUCCACUUGCAGCAGUGGCAGUGAUCCUCAUAAACACGGGCCCACCGUGCUCAGAGCCCCAUUUUCCCACUGACAUUGGCCAAGAUGCAUCCUGGCUGUGUGCAGACCCCAGAGAGAACUGCCCGAUAGUGGCAACACUGGCACAGUGGCCAGCCAAGGAGGGAAAAGCAAAGCAAAGAGGACUGAGGCAAAGCAAAGAGGACUGAAGAUAUGAAGACCCGUAUCUCUGCUGAGAAGAGCUCAUCAUAGAACAAGGACAAAUGGCCAGCAAGAUGCCAUGCCUGAAAAUAUUCAAACAUCAAGUCCCACUUCCUGGUCUUACCUAUGUCAUCGGAAGUGUGUAGAUUCUAGGCUGGAGAGCUACUUUUUUUCAAUAGGUGGAAACAAAAAUUCAUGAAGCAUCCUGAAAUUAUUGCUGAAUUCAGGGAUGAGGGCAGCUUCGAUUUCUUCUCUGAACUUGGAAUUGUUUGCUAGAUUUUGCAGGCUUGACUCCAGCAGUGCAGUUGUAGAAACAAGCCAGCAGCAGCAGCCACACCUAAGCUGGGUUGCGCCUUCCUGGGAGGUGUCCCUGCCAAGAUGGGAAAACCUGAGAUGCUCCCCAGUGGAUGCAAAUAUGUGGGAGAAAAUUGAAUAAAAUUUCCCCUGGGGUGCCCCCCAGGAAGCAUGCUUCCUCCUCCA
rnacentral:lncRNA from 1 species